GAGUUUUUUUAUUCUUCCCCCAUGCUUUAUUCUGUUGUGAGGCUGAAUUGUAUGCCUGAAGUCUGAGCAGGUGAAGAGGAGUCCUGAAGGUGAAAGUACUGUGAUAAUAACAUAUCUAUCUAACCAUGUGGGCCUCCAGCUCUGGGCAAAGGAACCACUGUGACUUCUUUUGUCACCUGGAGAGGCUAAAUUCCUGUGCCUUGGGGAGCCUGCAACCCCUUCAGGAUGUACUGACAUAACUUCCAGUUGUGUUGAUGAUGGAGAUCGUGCAUACUUUG